GAGUUUGAUCAUGGCUCAGAUUGAACGCUGGCGGCAUGCCUUACACAUGCAAGUCGAACGGCAGCAUGAUCUAGCUUGCUAGAUUGAUGGCGAGUGGCGAACGGGUGAGUAAUACAUCGGAACGUGCCCUGUAGUGGGGAGUAACUAGUCGAAGAUUAGCUAAUACCGCAUACGACCUGAGGGUGGAAAGUAGGGGGACCGGCAAGGCCUCAUGCUAUAGGAGCGGCCGAUGUCUGAUUAG
rnacentral:rRNA from 1 species